rnacentral:lncRNA from 1 species
GCGGCUAUAUCGGCGGUUGGUCUGUUAAUCGGGUUGGCUAAAGUCUGUUAAUCAGGUGUUAUCGAGAAAAUCAUUGAAAGUUCAGCAUGUUUCAUUGUAUAACUUUUUAAAUAUAUUUUCAUCAUAAAAAGUAUUCAUGUCUAACAAAACAAUUCAAUGUACUGAAUUCAGUGGUGUAGUUAUUAUUUUUCUAGCUUCGAUGUACGAUCUAUAAAAUGAAAAGGCGGGUUACUCAUCAAUAAAUUUAUACACAUUUUACACACAUAAAAUGUACACACAAAAUGACACAUUUGUUAAAUUUACUUGCAUUCAAUAUUUUGAACAUCGAAAAAAGAAAGGCAUUAUGUUUGUUAACCAUAUUGAUAUCAUUGUGUGAAAAAUCCACACGAAAAGCUGUAUUUUGGUGACAUAAAUCAAUCUUUAUUUAAAACCUGGUCUGUUAAUGGGUCGGAUGUAUAAAACCCGGUCUGUUAAAUGGUCUGUUAAGAGUUAUGAAUGGCAAUAAAAGUAUAAUUUUAUUGCUGUAUGGGGUGUUAUCGGAUCAAAUGAGUAGGCUCAGGACGAGUGGCUUAAAUAUACGAAAACAACACAUGAAAUUGAAAAUUGAUAAAAAUGGUUUCAAAAAGUGUAAUAUUAAAGUAAUAUUAAUUUCAUCCAAGAAUGAUCGCAUAUAUCAUGUUGAUUCUGUUUAAUUGUCAUGAAUGACAA